GGCCUCGUAGCUCAGUUGGUUGGAGCGACGGUGAUCUAAUCCGGAGGUCGUGAGUUCAAAUCCCACCGGGGUCA
rnacentral:tRNA from 1 species